AGUGAACGCUGGCGGCAGGCCUAACACAUGCAAGUCGAACGAGUGGCGGACGGGUGAGGAAUACAUGGGAAUCUACUCUGUCGAGGGGGAUAACGACGGGAAACUUACGCUAAUACCGCAUACGAUCGAAUGAGCCGAUAUGGGAUUAGCUAGUUGGUGGGGUAAAGGCACACCAAGGCGACGAUCCGUAGCUGGGCUGAGAGGCUGAUCAGCCACACUGGAACUGAGACACGGUCCAGACUCCUACGGGCGGCGGCAGUGGGGAAUAUUGGUCAAUGGGCGCAAGCCUGAUCCAGCCAUGCCGCGUGGGUGAAGAAGGCCUUCGGGUUGUAAAGCCCUUUUGUUGGGAAGGCGGUACCCAAAGAAUAAGCACCGGCUAACUUCGUGCCAGCCGCCGCGGUAAUAC
rnacentral:rRNA from 1 species